rnacentral:rRNA from 1 species
GACGUAGGGGGCAAGCGUUGUUCGGAAUCAUUGGGCGUAAAGCGCACGUAGGCGGUUCGUUAUGUCGGAUGUGAAAGCCCUUGGCUUAACCGAGGAAGUGCAUCCGAAACUGGCGAGCUAGAGUACUAAAGAGGAUCGCGGAAUUCCCGGUGUAGAGGUGAAAUUCGUAGAUAUCGGGAGGAACACCGGUGGCGAAGGCGGCGAUCUGGGUAGAUACUGACGCUGAGGUGCGAAAGCGUGGGGAGCAAACAGGG